rnacentral:rRNA from 1 species
UACGUAGGGUGCGAGCGUUUGUCCGGAAUUACUGGGCGUAAAGAGCUCGUAGGUGGUUUGUCGCGUUGUUCGUGAAAACUCACAACUCAAUUGUGGGCGUGCGGGCGAUACGGGCAGACUGGAGUACUGCAGGGGAGACUGGAAUUCCUGGUGUAGCGGUGGAAUGCGCAGAUAUCAGGAGGAACACCGGUGGCGAAGGCGGGUCUCUGGGCAGUGAACUGACGCUGGAGGAGCGAAAGCGUGGGGAGCGAACAGG